UCAGGAUGAACGCUGGCGGCGUGCCUAACACAUGCAAGUCGAGCGGAGAUAAGUGAAGCUUAGCGAUCUUAUCUUAGCGGCGGAUGGGUGAGUAACACGUGGGUAACCUGCCCUGCACUGGGGAAUAACAGCUGGAAACGGCUGUUAAUGCCGCAUAUGCGCACGGAGCCGCAUGGCUUUGGGCGGAAAGAUUUAUCGGUGCAGGAUGGGCCCGCGCCGGAUUAACUAGUUGGCGGGGUAACGGCCCACCAAGGUGAUGAUCCGUAGCCGACCUGAGAGGGUGACCGGCCACAUUGGGACUGAGACACGGCCCAAACUCCUACGGGAGGCAGCAGUGGGGGAUAUUGCACAAUGGGGGAAACCCUGGUGCCAGCGACGCCGCGUGAAGGAUGAAGUAUUUCGGUAUGUAAACUUCUAUCAGCGGGGAAGAAGAUGACGGUACCCGACUAAGAAGCCCCGGCUAACUACGUGCCAGCAGCUGC
rnacentral:rRNA from 1 species